rnacentral:rRNA from 1 species
UACGUAGGGAGCUAGCGUUUAUUCGGAAUUACUGGGCGUAAAGCGUACGUAGGCGGCUUUGCAAGUUAGAGGUGAAAGCCUGGAGCUCAACUCCAGAACUGCCUUUAAAACUGCAUCGCUUGAAUCCAGGAGAGGUGAGUGGAAUUCCGAGUGUAGAGGUGAAAUUCGUAGAUAUUCGGAAGAACACCAGUGGCGAAGGCGGCUCACUGGACUGGUAUUGACGCUGAGGUACGAAAGCGUGGGGAGCAAACAGG